rnacentral:lncRNA from 1 species
AAGGAAAUCAACUUUGACGUUUGCCAUCAGAUGUUUGGACUCCCAAGGACGUAGAGCACUGUCGCUAUUUUGCAGCUCAGCUGUAGUUCCUGGCAUCACAGACACUUAGCGUACUGUUACUAUACAAGGAACCCAUUCCCUACAUUAGGACUAAAGGAAUCUCUGCUUCCAAUAAAAAGAAGUUCGGUUGAAAAUAUUACUCUUUACCUUGCUGGCUGCCAGCAACACAAUGAGGAAUGGAAAACACACAGGGUUCUUGCUUUUCUACGUCCUCUACCUUUAAAGCUGAAGAGAAGAGAGAGAGAGAGAAGGGCCGGGAGGAACGUAAAACAUUGCAAAUGAAAGAAAAACAAAGAACAAACAAACAAAGCAACAACAUCAUAAACAACAACGGUG